UGGGGAAUAUUGGACAAUGGGGGCAACCCUGAUCCAGCCAUGCCGCGUGUGUGAAGAAGGCCUUUUGGUUGUAAAGCACUUUAAGCGAGGAGGAGGGUACUCUAGCUAAUACCUAGAUGUAUCGGACGUUACUCGCAGAAUAAGCACCGGCUAACUCUGUGCCAGCAGCCGCGGUAAUACAGAGGGUGCGAGCGUUAAUCGGAAUUACUGGGCGUAAAGCGCGCGUAGGCGGUUUGUUAAGUCGGAUGUGAAAUCCCCGGGCUCAACCUGGGAACUGCAUUCGAUACUGGCAGACUAGAGUAUGGGAGAGGAUGGUAGAAUUCCAGGUGUAGCGGUGAAAUGCGUAGAGAUCUGGAGGAAUACCGAUGGCGAAGGCAGCCAUCUGGCCUAAUACUGACGC
rnacentral:rRNA from 1 species